GACGAACGCUGGCGGCGUGCUUAACACAUGCAAGUCGAACGGAAAGGCCCUGCUUUUGUGGGGUGCUCGAGUGGCGAACGGGUGAGUAACACGUGAGUAACCUGCCCUUGACUUUGGGAUAACUUCAGGAAACUGGGGCUAAUACCGGAUAGGAGCUCCUGCUGCAUGGUGGGGGUUGGAAAGUUUCGGCGGUUGGGGAUGGACUCGCGGCUUAUCAGCUUGUUGGUGGGGUAGUGGCUUACCAAGGCUUUGACGGGUAGCCGGCCUGAGAGGGUGAACGGGCACAUUGGGACUGAGAUAGGGACCAGAAUCCUACGGGAGGCAACAGUGGGGAAUAUUGCACAAUGGGGCGAAGCCUGAUGCAGCAACGCCGCGUGCGGGAUGACGGGCUUCGGGGUGUAAACCGCUUUCGCCUGUGACGAAGCGUGAGUGACGGUAAUGGGUAAAGAAGCACCGGCUAACUACGUG
rnacentral:rRNA from 1 species